rnacentral:rRNA from 1 species
UAAGGGCGCACGGUGGAUGCCUUGGCACUAGAAGCCGAUGAAGGACGUUACUAACGACGAUAUGCUUUGGGGAGCUGUAAGUAAGCUUUGAUCCAGAGAUUUCCGAAUGGGGAAACCCAGCAUGAGUUAUGUCAUGUUAUCGAUAUGUGAAUACAUAGCAUAUCAGAAGGCACACCCGGAGAACUGAAACAUCUUAGUACCCGGAGGAAGAGAAAGAAAAUUCGAUUCCCUUAGUAGCGGCGAGCGAAACGGGAAGAGCCCAAACCAACAAGCUUGCUUGUUGGGGUUGUAGGACACUCUAUACGGAGUUACAAAGGACGACAUUAGACGAAUCAUAUGGAAAGAUGAAUCAAAGAAGGUAAUAAUCCUGUAGUCGAAAAUGUUGUCUCUCUUGAGUGGAUCCUGAGUACGACGGAGCACGUGAAAUUCCGUCGGAAUCUGGGAGGACCAUCUCCUAAGGCUAAAUACUCUCUAGUGACCGAUAGUGAACCAGUACCGUGAGGGAAAGGUGAAAAGCACCCCGGAAGGGGAGUGAAAUAGAACCUGAAACCGUGUGCUUACAAGUAGUCAGAGCCCGUUAAUGGGUGAUGGCGUGCCUUUUGUAGAAUGAACCGGCGAGUUACGAUUUGAUGCAAGGUUAAGCAGUAAAUGUGGAGCCGUAGCGAAAGCGAGUCUGAAUAGGGCGUUUAGUAUUUGGUCGUAGACCCGAAACCAGGUGAUCUACCCUUGGUCAGGUUGAAGUUCAGGUAACACUGAAUGGAGGACCGAACCGACUUACGUUGAAAAGUGAGCGGAUGAACUGAGGGUAGCGGAGAAAUUCCAAUCGAACCUGGAGAUAGCUGGUUCUCUCCGAAAUAGCUUUAGGGCUAGCCUCAAGUGAUGAUUAUUGGAGGUAGAGCACUGUUUGGACGAGGGGCCCCUCUCGGGUUACCGAAUUCAGACAAACUCCGAAUGCCAAUUAAUUUAACUUGGGAGUCAGAACAUGGGUGAUAAGGUCCGUGUUCGAAAGGGAAACAGCCCAGACCACCAGCUAAGGUCCCAAAAUAUAUGUUAAGUGGAAAAGGAUGUGGCGUUGCCCAGACAACUAGGAUGUUGGCUUAGAAGCAGCCAUCAUUUAAAGAGUGCGUAAUAGCUCACUAGUCGAGUGACACUGCGCCGAAAAUGUACCGGGGCUAAACAUAUUACCGAAGCUGUGGAUUGUCCUUUGGACAAUGGUAGGAGAGCGUUCUAAGGGCGUUGAAGCAUGAUCGUAAGGACAUGUGGAGCGCUUAGAAGUGAGAAUGCCGGUGUGAGUAGCGAAAGACGGGUGAGAAUCCCGUCCACCGAUUGACUAAGGUUUCCAGAGGAAGGCUCGUCCGCUCUGGGUUAGUCGGGUCCUAAGCUGA